rnacentral:lncRNA from 1 species
GUGCUUUGAGCGGAGGCUUUUGAACCGAGCUAGAGAACUGUUGUCACGGCAUGGAUGCGUUUGACGAUGCCAUACUGUCUGUGUUGCAGGCUGCGAAUAUUGACUAUGAAGCUUUGAGAAGCUUUACCCGGGAUGACCUGAAGGAUCUCUUUCCAGGCCAUGAAAUUUCUUCCGGAGAAAGAAGCUUUGGAAUUUCAUAAUCCAACAGGUAAACAGACAUUAUACAAAUAAGAAUAUUAUAAUUAAUGCUAGAAUAUAUCAUUGUCUAGCAAUAAUUUGCCUAAUUGUGGAUUUUUAUUUUUUUUUUAUAUCCCGCAACUGUUAUUGCUUAAGACUGCUGAACAAAAUGCCAACACUUGCCAUCGAAGCGAGAGUAACCCCUUAGGCUUUGUUGUGUCUGAAUGUCAGCCACAAACUUCCAGUCCCAUUUCCUACACUGCUCACAAAACAAUGAAAAUGCCAGACCCACCAGAGUAUGUGUUGUAUACAGAUUCAGAACUGGACAUGGUGCGCAGUCAGUACUUUGCAUUGCUUCACAGUGGAAAGGAAAAGGACUGUAAGAUGUCGAAGGAGCUCUGUUGCAGACUUAUAAGGAACACAGUCACCAGCAUGGUUGCAAUCCUUCGUGCUAGUCCCAUGGGGAAAGAAGUAGGAUACCCCUCCAAACUUGAAAUGAGAGCAAUGUCACAGAAGAUUGUCGACUAUUACCCUAUGUUAUGUGAUGCUGACACACACAUGCCAUAUGUGACCAUCUACACCAAACUGUACAAACGACUCCAAAAUAUGAAGUCUCCAAGGAGGAAACAGGGUUCCAUGCUGCAGCGAGGCAGGCCCAGGAAGAUUAUUUUCAGCUCAGACAACUUAGACAAUGAAACUGAAGGUGACUUAAGUGGCGAAGCAAGUGGUUCAAGUGACUAUACCAUACUUGACCUCAGCAAGGACAACUCAAAUGCAGAGAAAGCAUCAAAAUUCCAUCUACACUCUACUGUACCAACACAGUCAAACAAUAAUACCCUGGCUUCACCACUAUUAUCUAAGUCAGCCUCAUGCUCUGCACCCAGGGCUGCCAUAGGUCCACCAACUCCAGAUGACGAUGUUGCAGACCAUGACAGCCUGAAGAUGCAGCCAAGACAUUACAAAACCUUGAGCAACAUGUACAGGAAACCAAAUGCAAAACCCAACCAAAGUGACGUUGCUCAAAUUUUGGACCUGGAGUUUGAGGCCAGACGAGCUUUUAUUGAUGCAGAUGUUACAAGGGAAGAAGACAGGCCCACAAAAAUAUUUGAAGCAUACCCGUGCUUCAAAGAUAUUCGAAAUGUAAGCCUAGCUACCUUCAAUUAA